ACGGCGGCAGGGCCCGGCCGCGCUGCGCGGCCGCGCUGGGCGGGAGGCGGGCGGAGAUGCGGCCGCCGGCGCUGCCGUGGCUCCUGCUGGGGCCGCUGCUGGUGUUGGUGGUGCUGCUGGAGGCCGCUCGCUGGGGGGAGGCGGCGGCCCCGCGGCCCCGGGACGCCGCCACUGCUUCCCUGCGCCCCACGGAGGCGGCCGGCGGGGCCGCCACGCGGAGCAGCAGCAGCAGCAGCCGCCUGGCCGAGGUGUCAGCGCCGCCCGAGCAGGGCCAGCCCAUGACCCAGCGCGCCCUGUCCGUGCUGGUGCUGGCCAGCGCCGCCCUUAUCGUCUACUUCGUGAUCCGGACCGUGCGGCUCAGAAGGCAAAACAGAAAAACCCGAAGAUACGGAGUUUUGGAUACAAACAUAGAAAACAUGGAGCUGACCCCAUUAGAACAAGAUGAUGAUGAUGAUGAUACGCUAUUUGAUGCCAGCCAUCCUCAAAGUUGGAGAAGGGAUGUCAAGAUCACUUGAAUUUUAAAUGGGCAAGAAUUUAGUGGGCAAGAAGAUAAACACCAUUUGUCUUCAACAUGUGAGUUCCAGAGAAAUGGAGAGGAAGAGAAGUACGUGCCUUUCAGUGAAAGAACUUAAUCUUAGAACCAGAGAAGGAGACUGCUUCAUGGGAAAAAUAAGAAGCAAGAGGCUUUUUCUUAAAAAAAGAAAAUAAAUCCAGCAAAAAGCCUAGAGGUAAGGUAAAUGGCAUUUAUGAGGAAUCUUAAUGAAACUUCUUCAAGACAUUACAUUAUUGAAAGGUCUAGAUGCCAGGUUUUGAAACUUGGGAGAUUUCACGAGGAAUAUGUUUGCACUGAUACUACUCCUUUUACCUGCCUUGGGCAUUGUCCAAAAUGAGGUGUGUGACUGUGUGUAUUUCUCUUCAGACCAAACACAGUCAUUUUUAUUCUGUGCUCUGAUAGAGUCCAAAGACCUCUCAUCUUUCUAAACAGAAAACACAGUUUUAUGAAGACAUAAAUUAAACCUGUUGAAUCAAAGCAGACAUUAUAUAUAUAUAUAUACACAUUAGCAUUUUUGUGACAUUUCUGAAAGUUAGUAGUACACUUCCCAGUAAGAAGAUUGUUCAGAUAAGUGGUGAAAUUUAAUUCACAGUUUAACUGUCCUUUCUAUCAGAUCUUUCAUUUUGCUUUUCCCGAUAUGAAAUCUAAAUCUUGUUUUUAGUCAUUUUAAGCCUAUUGCACUGUAGCUACAGUUAAUGGUAAAAAGAACUUUGUCUUUUUGCAGAUUUGCCAUUUUUGUCGAGAUAAUUAUAUUGCCUCAUCGUCUUGUCUAAACAAGACACCCUCAGUUUCUUUUCUCCUGUAUUGGUUUUGCAUUGUUUUUUGGUAAGAGGGCAUGCUACAGGGGUGGCUUCUGUGAGAAGCUGCUAGAAGCUUCCACUCUAUUCAGCAGGGUCGAUCACUGGUGUCUACAGAGAUAGAUGUGCCGCUGGCCAAACCUGGGCCAGUUAGAAAUGGUGAUAAUGCCUCUGUGAUAACAAACACAUUUAAGAAGAAAGAUAAACAAAAAGUUGUUGCACAGUUUUAAUUCCAGCCAGAGGAGAGCAGGGUGAGAACAUGUGAGAAGAAAACUAUGUAGAUGACAAGGUCAGUGGAGAAGGAGAGUGAGGAGGUGCAGCAGGUGCUGGAGUUGAGAUUUGUCUGCAGGCUGUGGUGAGGACCAUGGUGAGGCAGCUGUGUCCCUACAGCCCAUGGAGGUCCUGGGGAUAUAGAGAUUCAUCUGCAGCCCAUGGAGGAGCCCCCACAGAAGUAGGUGGAUGUCUGUGAGGAAGCUGUGAUCCUGGUGGAGACCUGUGGAGAGAGGGCCCUGCUCCUGUGCUGGAGCAGCCUGUCCUUACGGCUGAGUGGAAGAGUGACCUGUGCUGCAGCAGCCUGGGGAGGACAGCUGCCCCUGGGACUGUCCCUGUGGGCUCACACUGUGGGAGGGAGCUCGUGAGAUGGAGCCACAUCAGAGAAGUUCACGGAGAAGUGUCUCCUGUGGGAGGGGACCAGUGGUGCAGCAAUGGAGCGACUCCUCUUCCUGAGCAGCAGGAGAAGCCACGGGAGAUUAACUGAUCAUGACCCCCACUCCAUGUCUCCUUGCAUUGCUGGGGUAAGAGGUAGAGCUAAGAAGGAAGGAGGGGUGGGGGGAAGGUGGUUUCAAGGGGCUUAUUUUACUUCUCCUUAUCCUGCUCUGAUUUUUUUUAUUAGUAAUAAAUUCACUUCAUAUCCCUGAGUUGAUCCUGUUUUGCCAAUGAUUGUAUUUGAUGAGGGGUCUCUCUUGAUUCUUAUCUCAACCCUGAACUCUGUUAUAUUUUCUCUCCUCUGUCCAGCUGCAGAAGGAAGUUAAUGAGCAGCUUUCACUGGUGCCUGGCAUCUGGCCCAGGUCAAUCCAUUACACCUCCCAAGAUAACUAUAUUUGAUAAUUAUAUAUAGUUAUAUAAGCAUAUAACUUGCUUAGUAUGCCUCGAAAUCCUGCAUGUAAGUAAUCUGUGAAGACACGGAAGAGCACCAGGCCUGGAAUGGAGCCCUGUGGAACCCCACUAGUGACAGAUCACCAGCCUGAUGUCUCCCCAUUCACAGUCACUGACUGUGCCCAACCCAUUAGCCAGAUGCUGUAUUUGUGAUGAUGUGUUUAUUCAGCUUUGUCCAGGACACCAUGGAAGACAGCAUUGAUGACUACUGAAAUCCAGAAACAUGAUUACAUCAACUGACUUCUCUUGAUUGAUGAGGUGGAGAAUCUUGUCAUGAAUGGUUAUCAGAAGAACUUUGCCUUCAUGAACGCAUGCUGGCUGUGAAUGAUGACUGUGUUGUCUUUCAGGUAUUUUUCAAUAACUCACAGAAUAAUCUCUAUAAUUUUUCCAGGCACUGAGGUGAGACUGACAGGCAGGUAGUUACCAGGGUCAUUCCACUUGCCCUUUUUGAAAAUUUGGAUGUUUGUCAGCUUUCAGUCCUAUGAUUCUAUGUUUCUGUGAUUAUAUGGUGAUGGAAACAUACAAUUUUGUGCAGCUGUCAUACUUCUGGCCUGGAGUUGUCAUUUCCCUUUCUCCCCCACCCAUAUAGAACAUAAGUUAACCACAUUUUCAGUUUUAGCUCUCUCAAUAACUUCAGUUGAAGCCUUAGAUUUUGUAGCAGCUUCAGAACCAUUUGAUACUAGAAAAAAUAUGCAGAAAUUAGGGUUUUAAAUUUAAUAUGGGUAGCUACACAUCUGCUUCAUAUCUGCAAGUAGGAUGGACGUUCUAGACCUUGUUCAGUCCAAGCUGGACAUGAGAACAUUCAUUUUCUCAGAGGCAAGACCAGGACUUAUUUGCCUGAGCAGCUGUGGUCGUUCUGGUCCAUUUUCUUAAUGUUUUCCACUAAUAUACCAUUAAAUACCUGAAUGCCACUGUGCAAUAUUGAUUUAACGGAAGUAUUUGUAGUCUCUUGGAUAUGAGUAGUAGAGAGUCAUUAAGAUCUUAAUUGAUUAUGGCAACUCUAGCUGUCCCCAAGAAAAACCUUAAAUUCACUUGUGUUGGUGUAAGUUUCAAGAAAAAGAAAGCUAAAGUAGCAUAUAUUAAAAACUUAGCUAUAAAAUAUUUCUUUUUUUAUCUGAAUGGAAACUGUUGUCCAUGCUGGUACAUGUCUUCAGUACCUAUGAAAUUGAAAUAUUUUCCUCAUUUUUUAACACUGUAGAUGCUGUUCUGUAGGAGACCCUUUCUGGGGACGGUCUGAGACACGGCAAAGACUCCUGUAAUUGAGUUAGGUGUUAGAAGUUUAUUUCAGGGCGUGGGAUAGAGACAGAGAGGGAGCCUGCUAUGAGCCAGCAGAUAGAGCUCAAAGCAGGCUCAGAGAGAACAAUACAAAAGAGGGUAAAAUAUGAAUACAUGAGUUUAAGACUUAAGAUUGCUAAGAAAGAGAGUAACAGAACAGAAGUGAGAGAGCCAGGAAAAAGAGAUAAAGAAGAGCAGGAAAGAGCAGCAAGAGAAUGUAGUAAGAGAGACAACAAGAGAAAACAAGAGAACCAAGAGAACCAAGAGAGCGAACUCUUUUUUACGAUUACUUAUAUAACCUAUACAUAUUCCUUUACUAUUCUAUUCCUUUACUAACCAAUCUUUCUAAGUAUACUAAUACAGUAACAUUUGUGUGCAACCUAUAGAAAUCGCUAUUUUUGCAUAUUUUUAGUUAUCUCAGGGUCCUUCAGACCUUUCCUUAUAAGGCUGGGAAGAGGGGUCUCAGCUUGGUUUUAUUGCAGGAAAGAAUGUGUUCUGGCAUACCAGCCUGGUUUCUUUGAAUUAUUCAAACCGUGCUAUCAUUUGUAUUUCUUCUUUAGCCUUUCUGGCUACAGAGUUAUAUUUAUAAUUUCUUUCUAAUUCUACCUUCCCAACAUCUGCCCCUUUUUGUUUAUGAUGUCAGAAAUAGGUCUACCUCUCAAUUUCUGCACACAUUGGAGUAUACAAGGUAUAGCUACUAAAACUACAAUUAUCACUAUUAAAAUUAUCAAGCUUAUUUUACAGAGUUCCUUAAGCCAAGGUGCAAAGCUUCAACUCUUAAAACAAAUUGUCUAGCUUCUUUAACUUUUGAAGGUCAGAUUGAUUAUCUUUAGAAUUAUUAAUAUGAAUUUGGUUGGCUAAAUUUUUCAAAUUUUGCAGCUCUUUGUGAAUAGAAACAGAAUGCUUAGGUAUCAAAGCUUGCAGUCUUUGGCUAAGGUAACUUAGGCAUUUAUCUUCCGUUGAUUCACAGUUUAGGUUUUGCUACAGAAAUUUUAAACUAAAGGAUAACAGUAACAUGCAUUCAUGCAAAUAAUGGAAUUUCAUUUUUUUUCUUGAACUGUCUUUAGCAGAUCACUUUCUCUUGGUGACUUUGCGCAGUUCAAGUGCUUGCUUCUUGGUUUCUCUUUGCAGUCUGCAAACUUGCUGGGGGUUCAGGUGUAUGACAGUGGUGUCAUGUCUCUGCUUGAGCUUUAAGAGCUCUUUCGAUUUUUCUCUCAAAGUCUUUCCAAGUUUCUUUGCUUGGAUUGCUACUGUUUGCUGUUUUGCGGUGUCGGGCGGUGUUGCUGUCACAGUGGAUGCAGACGGGAGUUGUGUUGGUGUUAGCAGUGGUGCAGACAGGCGGGCGCCAUGUGCUGGGGUCGGGUGGUUUUGGUGGUGGACGCAGCUUCGCGAAGACGCAUGAUGGGAGCUGGACAGUGACUAGGCUAGGCGGUGGGAUAGAUGAUGCUGAUGGCUGCAGCUGUAGAGUCGGGGUUCCGUGCCUGUCCUUUCCCUCUCCCUCCGCGGUUUGAGAGGCUGGCAUGGAGGGUUGUAGAAAGGCUGUGCUUGAGGGGUGGCAUGGGGGACCCGGGGGCGGCGGCAGCAGCAGCGGCGAUAGAGGCUGUGACUGCGCAUGCGUGGAUGAUGUCAGCGUCGCAGGGCAGCAUGGGAGAGUGGUGUGUAGGAGCGGGAGUUGUGAAUCGGGCUGGGCAGCACCACUCAGGAUGGUGUUGCUGAAUGGCGGUGGGGCUGUUGGC